rnacentral:rRNA from 1 species
UUGGAGGGCAAGUCUGGUGCCAGCAGCCGCGGUAAUUCCAGCUCCAAUAGCGUAUAUUAAAGUUGUUGCAGUUAAAAAGCUCGUAGUUGAAUUUCGGGGUCAGUAGGUUGGUCAUGCCACUGGUAUGUACUGGUCUCACUGAUUCCUCCUUCCUGAUGAGCUGUAAUGCCAUUAAUUUGGUGUUGCGGGGAAUCUGGACUGUUACUUUGAAAAAAUUAGAGUGUUUAAAGCAGGCUAACGCCUGAAUACAUUAGCAUGGAAUAAUGAAAUAGGACGUUCGAUCCUAUUUUGUUGGUUUCUAGGAUUGACGUAAUGAUUAAUAGGGAUAGUUGGGGGCAUUAGUAUUCAAUUGUCAGAGGUGAAAUUCUUGGAUUUAUUGAAGACUAACUACUGCGAAAGCAUUUGCCAAGGAUGUUUUCAUUGAUCAAGAACGAAAGUUAGGGGAUCGAAGACGAUCAGAUACCGUCGUAGUCCUAACCAUAAACUAUGCCGACUAGGGAUCGGAUGAUGUUAAUUUUUUAAUGACUCAUUCGGCGCCUUACGGGAAAC